rnacentral:rRNA from 1 species
AAGAGUUUGAUCCUGGCUCAGAACGAACGCUGGCGGCGUGCUUAACACAUGCAAGUCGAACGCGAAAGUUUUCUUCGGAAGACGAGUAGAGUGGCGCACGGGGGCGCACGGGUGAGUAACGCGUAAGUUAUCUACCUCGGCAUCUGGAAUAACUCACCGAAAGGUGUGCUAAUACCGGAUACGUUGAGUAAUCAAGAAAGGUGGCCUCUGAAUAUGCUACUGUGCUGAGAUGAGCUUGCGUACCAUUAGCUAGUUGGUAGGGUAAUGGCCUACCAAGGCAACGAUGGUUAGCGGGUCUGAGAGGAUGAUCCGCCACACUGGAACUGGAACACGGACCAGACUCCUACGGGAGGCAGCAGUGAGGAAUAUUGCGCAAUGGGGGCAACCCUGACGCAGCGACGCCGCGUGAGUGAAGAAGGCCUUCGGGUCGUAAAGCUCUGUCAGCAGGGAAGAAGUGCAUGGUGGCUAAUAUCCAUUGUGUUUGACGGUACCCUCAAAGGAAGCACCGGCUAACUCCGUGCCAGCAGCCGCGGUAAUACGGAGGGUGCAAGCGUUGUUCGGAAUUAUUGGGCGUAAAGCGCGUGUAGGCGGCCUUGUAAGUCAGAUGUGAAAGCCCACGGCUUAACCGUGGAAGAGCAUUUGAAACUGCAAGACUUGAGUACCAGAGGGGAAAGUGGAAUUCCUAGUGUAGCGGUGAAAUGCGUAGAUAUUAGGAGGAACACCAGUGGCGAAGGCGACUUCCUGGCUUGUAACUGACACUGAGGCGCGAAAGCGUGGGGAUCAAACAGGAUUAGAUACCCUGGUAGUCCACGCCGUAAACGAUGAGUGCUAGGUGUAGGGGGUAUUGACCCCUCCUGUGUCGCAGCUAACGCAUUAAGUGUACCGCCUGGGGAGUACGGUCGCAAGAUUAAAACUCAAAGGAAUUGACGGGGGCCCGCACAAGCGGUGGAGUAUGUGGUUUAAUUCGACGCAACGCGAAGAACCUUACCUGGUCUUGACAUCCCGAGAAUCUCUUGGAAACUAGAGAGUGCCUUCAACCGAAGGAGCUUGGAGACAGGUGCUGCAUGGCUGUCGUCAGCUCGUGUCGUGAGAUGUUGGGUUAAGUCCCGCAACGAGCGCAACCCUCGCCCUUAGUUGCCACACAUAAUGGUGGGCACUCUAGGGGGACUGCCGGUGUCAAACCGGAGGAAGGUGGGGAUGACGUCAAGUCCUCAUGGCCUUUAUGACCAGGGCUACACACGUACUACAAUGGUCGGUACAAAGGGCGGCGAGCUCGCGAGGUGGAGCUAAUCCCAUAAAACCGGUCUCAGUCCGGAUCGGAGUCUGCAACUCGACUCCGUGAAGUUGGAAUCGCUAGUAAUCGUGGAUCAGCAUGCCACGGUGAAUACGUUCCCGGGCCUUGUACACACCGCCCGUCACACCACGAAAGUCGGUUGUACCAGAAGACGUUGAGCUAACCGCAAGGAGGCAGGCGUCCAAGGUAUGGCUGGUAAUUGGGGUGAAGUCGUAACAAGGUAACC